rnacentral:tRNA from 1 species
UCUAAUAUGACAGAGUAAUGUAAUGGAAUUAAAUCCCAUAAAUAAAGUUUAAAAUAUCUUUUAUUAGAA